rnacentral:lncRNA from 10 species
GAUAACUCAUCACUCGGCUGGUAGGAAGUUGUUGCUUAUCUGAGGACAGCCAGAAAUGGCAGCAUGGCUCUCAGAAAGGAUUUGUAGUCAAAACCAGUAACUCUCUGGGUGUCGGAUGUGAACAAGGGCUGCUUAGUCCCGACCGUUACUUGCUUCUACUGUUUCUUGAACAAAGGGCUAUCUCUGCUUCCUGCUUCAAUAAAUGAGGUCCCUAUCGCUACAAGCAGUGAUGUGUUCCUCACCCUGCCCAAGAGCCUGCAGACACAAGAUGCCAGCAUUUGGUUAAAUUUGAAAAUCAUACUUAGAGAGGCCACAGAGAAAUGCAAGCUACAUCACAGUGGGACAUGUGAGAGGCUGUUACCAGAUGACAGAAAGCAAAAGUUACGUUUCCAUAGGAGAAAGGUUCUCCCUCCUAAAGAUGCAAUUAUAAGAUGCGGAAGAGUGAAAUACCUAGAAGAGAUCCAAAAAUCAGUUGCUACUAUAUUCCCUCCAGUAAGCUUCUAUCAAAAA